GAAAAGUUACACGACACCGUAAAAGAUAACAAGCCGUGGUAUGACAAACUGGAGACAGCGAUGAGAAAGAUAUUCUUUUGUUUUGGAAAGAAAGAGCCUACACCUCCAACAACUGAACCGGAAGCGGAUGUACCUCAAAGUGAUCCUCAUGAUCAAAACGAGGCUUUGUUUCCUGGAGACCUUUCUAAGACUGUAGGCCCUGGGUUUAAUUAUAGAGACAGUCCUCUACAUUCGUCACUUCGCUACGAUCG